UUUAACAGAAGCCAAAUUAGAGGUAUUUUAUUGUUAAUAAAAUUAUUGAAUUUAAAUUCCUGUUAA
rnacentral:tRNA from 1 species